rnacentral:lncRNA from 1 species
AAUUCUUUCUGCAAGAGAGUUUCGGGGUGCUGUGACUGAUGAACCCCAAGGAGCACCCCAGAAAUGAAAGGAUUUAUCUUAGCCAGUAGGAAACAGUGGGCUACUGAAGGCACAGUCAUUUCCGAAUCAGCUGUGUGUGCACAGUCAGGUUAGUGGGGGACUAAAGGAAAGGUCAAAAUCAAAAUGAGAGAAAAGAUAAAAAUGAGACGAUUUGGCAUGUGAUGGCGGCGAUUCCAACAAAACCUGCUUAAACAAGAUGUCAACUCUGAAAAAUGGGAAGUGGAUCAAAGCAAAGAUAUUGAUUCUUACUAUUGCCCUUUGGAAAGGAGGGGUCAGCUGGGUGGUGCUGUAGUUACAGCCCUGGGCUUGGAGUCAGAAACACUCAUCUUCAUGAGUUCCAAUCCAGCUUCAGACACUUACUAGCUGGGUGACCCUGGGCAAGUCAUUUAAUCUGUAUAAAUCAGUCACCACAGUGAGAAAGCCAAAGAAGUCCAGAAAGGAACAUUUGUGGACAUCGGUUUCUCCAUAUAGAAAUGAGGGGGUUACUUCUGAGGUCCCUUCUAGCUGGAAAUCUGUGUUCCUCUAAUCUUAGGUGUCUCACGCAGUAAACAUUUGACAUCUUUGUUGUGAGGAAAGUCAUGGUGUUCAAAGGCAACACCUACAUAGAGGACAAGCUCAUUUACAAAAUACGAGAAGGAAGGACAACAGAAGAUUACAAGCAGCUGUGAACAGCUGGGGGGACCCUCUCCACUGGGCAAUCCAAGGAGCUGUCUGCACUAGUGAUUCUGGCCUCAGAAUGUGUCCUGUGCUGCAGAGGAGACCACUUUCACUUCACUAAUAGCCCAGCAGUUAGAGGUGACUGUCCAGACAAGCUCAAGUCCAGGUGUGGCCAAAAGGCACCCAGCUCCUUCAUUCGCACUCAGCGCAGAGCUCAGGUCUUCUAAUUUGAAGCCCACUCCCCGGCUAAGGUCCUGCUAAGAAGCCAUCACUGAUGACUAGGUAUGGAGUUUAAUUAUUUUUUAAAAAUUAA